rnacentral:rRNA from 1 species
AUGGCUGCUCCCUCCGCCGCCCUCUCCAUCUCCGGUGGGGCGCAUACCAGUGCAUUUGGCUGCAAGCCAAAGAAGUUGAUCUCAAACAGAAAUUACUUGCAGCUAGCAGCUCCCUCAAAUUCCCAAAAUGCAAAUCUUUAUGGGAAGUUGACCGUCUGCAGAGCAGAAAGUGAAGAUUCUAAAGGCGGGGGAGGAUUCUUGACUGGAUUUCUCAUAGGGGGAGCAGUCUUUGGAACGCUGGGUUAUGUCUUUGCUCCUCAGAUCAGCAAAACUUUAGAUACAUUGCUGAAUGACGAUGGGCAAGAUGGUAAGCCUGACGAGCAAGGCGUCCAAAGUGUACCAAGGCCACGUAAUGCUCAAUACUAUGAUGAAGGUUUAGAGAAAACUCGUCAGACACUGGGUGACAAGAUAAGCCAACUGAACCUUGCAAUUGACAAAGCUGCCGCCCGAUUGAAGCAUGUCACCGGCAGUGUCGAAAAAGAGGCUGUUAAAGAUGAAACCGAAAUUGAAAUAUCAACACUGGAUGAUAAUGGAGUUUUGGAGGGAAACUUGAGUGAACAGGGUUUUGUGCAAGGAGAAAGUGCAGCAUAA